CUGAAAUCAUACAUCUGUUAUUAUGUGCUUGGAGUCCUGAUAUUCUCCAACACUUUAUAUGUUUAAAAAUGACUCUUUGCAGGAACAAAAACCAGUGAAGAAUCAGUACGUUAUGCCUAAGGAGGUGCGAAAAUCUGAAAAAUAUAAUACUAUUUUGCAGGAUGACAGCCAAAUAUUGGGCUGGGGAGCACUGCUUUGCUAAAAGGUUCUUUCCAAAAUGGAAACAUUGCUUUCUGUUCUGUUGGCUAUUUCUUUCUACUGCAUGAAAUAACUCCUUUCUUGACCCUCUCCACUUCCUUGACUGUUUUCAGCUCAUCCACUCUCUUAUUACGUCAUCUGUCCUCUAUGACCCUGUCUUUACAGGUUCCAGCUCUGCCCUUUCUUCCUGCACUUGAGUUUGACAGACAGACCUGCCUGCUUGUGCGUCCUCUCCUCUUGCUGCUGCUGCCACCACAUCACUUGGGGUGUUUGCUUUUUAAUGACAGACCUGUCUUUUUUUGGAGUAAGUACCCUCAGCUACUUAAAACUUCAUCAUCCAACUUCUGGAUCUCCAGUUUCUUAAAAGGGCUCACUACUUUCCAGCAAAGGCUGCUUAUGCUACCUGUCUAUGGGGGAGAAUGCCUAUCUGUCAGGGACCCGAAUGACAGUGUUUGGAACCGGAUAGAGAUUUCAGUUACCUCCUAG
rnacentral:lncRNA from 1 species